ensembl:miRNA gga-mir-1718 gga-mir-1718
UGUAACUUUUGGCCAUGUUCCUUUGCCCCUAAGCUUUUCAGAAUUAAAAACUAAGGACAGAGGAACGGAGUCAAAAUACA